UACGGGGGGAGCAAGCGUUGUUCGGAUUUACUGGGCGUAAAGGGCGCGUAGGCGGCCACCGCAAGUCGGUUGUGAAAUCUCCGGGCUUAACCCGGAAAGGUCAACCGAUACUGCGGGGCUAGAGUGCAGAAGGGGCAACUGGAAUUCUCGGUGUAGCGGUGAAAUGCGUAGAUAUCGAGAGGAACACCUGCGGCGAAGGCGGCAUCCUGGACCAAUAUUGACGCUGAGGAGCGAAAGCCAGGGGAGCAAACGGG
rnacentral:rRNA from 1 species